rnacentral:misc_RNA from 1 species
AUGGUUUUGACUUUGUGGAUGCUUCUAUUACUCCAUCAAAUAAACUUCUCCUCAUGUGCCUGCGUAUUGAUGUCAGCCAGGUAUGAUUUGCUUGAUAUAGGUGUUCACAGGUUUCUUCUAAAAGUUUGGUAACUUCCUUCCUAUCUGGCCGAAAUGUUUUAGAUGAAGCUGAUUGAUAAAGCCGAUGCCCCAUAACCAAGCUCGCAAAAUUUGGAUGACCUUUGCCAUCAUGAUCAAAUCCAGGAAUAAACAC